UUGAAUGAAUUGAUCAUGUGGCAGUUCAUAAAAGUAAGGAUGCAAAAUCAACUGCUGUUACUACGUAACAUGUUAAUGACGAAAUUGUCCUCUUAAGUUCUUGGUCUUCUACUUUAAUCUGAUCUGUAGAUAACAGGCAUGCUUUCUGUUGAUUUGAAAUGCCACUAAAGUGUUGGUUUUCCUUCCUCCUUUUUGAAUAAUAAAAAUUGUAUUGCAGAAACAAUAUGAACAAAACAUUGAGUUUAAUUAAAAAAAAGGCUAUGGUUUUUAUCCAUUUUAAGAGUCAGUUUAGUAGGUUGUAGAGAUCCACGCCUAAAAAUAAGCAAACUACAAUAUCAAAGCCUUCCAAUCAUUUGUAAUCAUGAGUAGGCUAUGCUUACAAAAGAGUUUCUUCUGGUUUGAACGCCACCAAGUAGUAUGCUACUAUGCUGUACAUUUCUCCAAAAAGAAUCCACCAAAGAUGGCCAAUUUUCAAAGGACUUCCCUCCUAGGCUCUCCAUCAGCCACCCAUCAAUCUUCUAAGGGAGGCAUUCAGCCAACUUAAAAACCGGAAAGAAGGAAAAUCGUGUUGAACGGGAAAAUGGGCAGUAGGGCAGGAUGUGAUCCAAAGACACUCCCUCCUUCAAGCACAAACAGCAAAUAGAUGGACUCCCUCUGCAGCUUAUCCGAAGAAUUAAGGCUUCUAUGCAUGACCAACCAAAUAAAGACAUGAACUUUUUGGGCCCUUUUUUUUUUCUUUCCAGUUGUAGUCCACCAUGGGAGUUCUAAGUUUAACAUUCAACUUAAUCAGGAUCGUUGGUAA